rnacentral:rRNA from 1 species
UAAGUGCGAUUAAAAUAACCCCCAACUAGUAAACUCAUUGAAAAAAUGGUGAAAAGUAAAAAAUGGGGGGGGGGCUCAAAACCGAUAACGAUUUUUAUAUGUUGUCAAUGUUUACCGUAAAUAUCUCAGGGAGCGGUUAGGCUUUAGGACUCAUACUCCUAAGAUGUAUUUCUCUGAUUAUCACUCAUUAAUGGUUUUUCAAACACAUAGCUAAUAUAAUAGCAAAAGUGGGGGUGCUUGCUAUAUUAACAUGGUAAUUUAUGAAAGUAAAUGCAGAGAUGCUAAUAGCCUAGUAAAAGUUGUGCCAGCGGCUGCGGUUAAACAGCUAGGGCGUUUGGGGUGUUUAUUGUAAGAGUUUGAGAAAAGCUUAUAGUGGUGAAAUAUGGGUAAGAUGGGAAAAUCUCUGUAAAGUAGGCUUAAGAAUCAGAUUAGAUACCUGAGUAUUCUACGUAUACAAUAAUUAUAUGGGGAAGAUCUAAAUAAUGUGGCGGUGCUCUUGAUAGGUAGGGGGACUUGGGUUUGGAUAGUAAACCUAAAUUAAUCUAGCUUAGUAGCCUCUUGUAUGAUUGAAUAUUUUUAGAAGAAAUUAUUCAAAUUUCAUAGGGGGUGAGUUAGUUUGCCUGAGUUUUGGUUUUAAUAAAAAUAAAGGAUUUACGAGUAGUUGAGUAGAGAUGAAGGCAUCAGGAGUGAGUACAUAUCGCCCGUCAACACCUCACAGGUGUAAGUCGUAACAUAGUGAUUCUACUUGAAAGUGGAGU